CCUACGGGUGGCUGCAGUGGGGAAUAUUGCACAAUGGGCGCAAGCCUGAUGCAGCCAUGCCGCGUGUGUGAAGAAGGCCUUCGGGUUGUAAAGCACUUUCAGCGGGGAGGAAGGCGGUGAGGUUAAUAACCUCAUCGAUUGACGUUACCCGCAGAAGAAGCACCGGCUAACUCCGUGCCAGCAGCCGCGGUAAUACGGAGGGUGCAAGCGUUAAUCGGAAUUACUGGGCGUAAAGCGCACGCGGGCGGUCUGUCAAGCCGGAUGUGAAAUCCCCGGGCUCAACCUGGGAACUGCAUUCGAAACUGGCAGGCUAGAGUCUUGUAGGGGGGGGUAGAAUUCCAGGUGUAGCGGUGAAAUGCGUAGAGAUCUGGAGGAAUACCGGUGGCGAAGGCGGCCCCCUGGACAAAGACUGACGCUCAGGUGCGAAAGCGUGGGGAGCAAACAGGAUUAGAUACCCCGGUAGUC
rnacentral:rRNA from 1 species